rnacentral:rRNA from 1 species
CUAGUGUAGAGGUGAAUUCGUAGAUAUUAGAAAGAAUACCAAUUGCGAAGGCAGCUUUCUGGAUCAUUACUGACACUGAGGAACGAAAGCAUGGGUAGCGAAGAGGAUUAGAUACCCUCGUAGUCCAUGCCGUAAACGAUGUGUGUUAGACGUUGGAAAUUUAUUUUCAGUGUCGCAGCGAAAGCGAUAAACACACCGCCUGGGGAGUACGACCGCAAGGUUAAAACUCAAAUGAAUUGACGGGGACCCGCACAAGUAGUGGAGCAUGUGGUUUAAUUCGAAGAUACGCGCAGAACCUUACCAACACUUGACAUGUUCGUCGCGACUCUAAGAGAUUAGAGUUUUCGGUUCGGCCGGACGAAACACAGGUGCUGCAUGGCUGUCGUCAGCUCGUGUCGUGAGAUGUUGGGUUAAGUCCCGCAACGAGCGCAACCCUCACUUUUAGUUGCCAUCAUUUAGUUGGGCACUCUGAAAGAACUGCCAGUGAUAAGCUGGAGGAAGGUGGGGAUGACGUCAAGUCCUCAUGGCCCUUACGUGUUGGGCUACACACGUGCUACAAUGGUAUCUACAACAGGAAGCAAAACUGCGAAGUUAAGCAAAUCCUUAAAAGAUACCUCAGUUCGGAUUGCACUCUGCAACUCGAGUGCAUGAAGCUGGAAUUACUAGUAAUCGUGGAUCAGCGUGCCACGGUGAAUGCGUUCCCGGGUCUUGUACACACCGCCCGUCACACCAUGGGAGUUGGUUCUACCUUAAGGCAAGGUUUAAAACCCUUGACCACGGUAUAGUCAGCGACUGGGGUGAAGUCGUAACAAGGU